GCUGACACAUCCCUGCCAAUCUCCGGCAGACCCUCCCUCCCAGACCCUCCCACCUCCUGGACAGCAUCCAUGUUGAAGCUGCCUUCAACAUGGAUGCUGUCCAGGAGAUGGGAGGGUCUGGGAGGGAGGGUCUGCCGGAGAUUGGCAGUGGUGUGUCAG
rnacentral:miRNA from 1 species